rnacentral:lncRNA from 1 species
CUCCAGGUGCUUAUCUCAGAACACGUAUGCAGUGGUGAAGACCGAAGUUCUGGAUGGACACCAGCUUUCGGUGUGACUUUGGCAGGUACCCUCUUUCUGGGCUCUUGCCCCCUUACUGAUAGUUUUGGUGACCAGAAGUGCCAUUUUUUGAUGGGCUUCUAGAGAUCCUCCAUCAGGGAUACCAGACAUGUUUGGCAUGCCUGUGCUGCUGCGAGACGCUAAGCGUGUGUCCAGACUA